UAAAAAGCUUCAAACUGGGAUUAGAUACCCCACUAUGCUCAGCCGUAAACUUAGACAUCCAACUACAAUUAGAUGUCCGCCAGGGUACUACGAGCAUUAGCUUAAAACCCAAAGGACCUGACGGUGUCUCAGAUCCCCCUAGAGGAGCCUGUUCUAGAACCGAUAACCCCCGUUUAACCUCACCACUUCUAGCCACCCCAGCCUAUAUACCGCCGUCGUCAGCUUACCCUGUGAAGGACAUAAAAGUAAGCAAAAUGGGUACAACCCAAAACGUCAGGUCGAGGUGUAGCGCAUGAAAUGGAAAGAAAUGGGCUACAUUUUCUACCACAGAAUAUUACGAACAUGUACCAUGAAAUAGUGCUUGAAGGAGGAUUUAGUAGUAAAAGGGAAAUAGAGUGUCCCUUUGAACCCGGCUCUGAGACGCGUACACACCGCCCGUCACCCUCUGCAGUCAA
rnacentral:rRNA from 1 species